rnacentral:rRNA from 1 species
GUCCACGCCCUAAACGAUGUCAACUGGGUGUUGGGGAAGCGAUUUCUCAGUACCGUAGCUAACGCGUGAAGUUGACCGCCUGGGGAGUACGGCCGCAAGGUUAAAACUCAAAGGAAUUGACGGGGACCCGCACAAGCGGUGGAUGAUGUGGAUUAAUUCGAUGCAACGCGAACAACCUUACCUACCCUUGACAUGUCCGGAAGCCUGCCGAGAGGCGGGGGUGCCCGAAAGGGAACCGGAACACAGGUGCUGCAUGGCUGUCGU